UCGAACAGAAAAGGACCAAGGGGGUACUAAUGGACUCGAAGCUGUCUUUCAAAGACCAAGUGUCAGAAGCAGCAUUAAAGGGUAACAGAGUCCUAGGAAUCGUUAGAAGAACAUUUGUUAGUCUAGAUGCAGUUAAAAUGUCAUAUUUGUUUAAAGAUUUUAUUAGACCCCUAUUGGAGUAUGGACAAGAUGCAUGGUUGCCAUAUAAACUAAGUGAACAAAGAAAGUUAGAAAGUGUACAGAGGCAAGCCACAAAAAUGAUGUAGAACCUAUUGUCUUUACUUUCUUCAGUUUAUGAUACAUGCACACACUUCUGACAGUUCUUUCUCGUAUUAAUUCUAUUUAUUCGUUCAAUAUCAUGGAAUCUGUACUACCAUCAAAGAAAAUACUAAGAUCGAUGAACAGGCACUCAAGCAUACAGUUUCAUGGACUUCAAGUAAAGUUAAUCCCACCAGCUAGAAAUAUUGCUUAUAAAAUCUCCUUCUUUCUGAGGACCGGUCGAUCUUGUUUUCAACCAGCUUUCUGUCUCAGCUCAACCUGCUGAUAGCUUUAAGGGCUUGCUCUAGCAUGUAA